AACGCACGAGACCUGCGGACCUGCGGAGGGAUCAUUACUGAGUGAGGGCCCCUCGGGGUCCAACCUCCCACCCGUGUUUAACGAACCUUUGUUGCUUCGGCGGGCCCGCCUCACGGCCGCCGGGGGGCUCCUGCCCCCGGGCCCGCGCCCGCCGAAGCCCCCCCUUGAACGCUGUCUGAAGUUUGCAGUCUGAGAAACUAGCUAAAUUAGUUAAAACUUUUAGCAAUGGAUCUCUAGAUC
rnacentral:misc_RNA from 1 species